ACUAAGUUUCCACAACGGAUCUCUUGGCUCUCGCAUCGAUGAAGAACGCAGCGAAAUGCGAAAAGUAAUGUGAAUUGCAGAAUUCAAUGAAUCAUCGAAUCUUUGAACGCACCUUGCGCUCCUUGGUAUUCCUUGGAGCAUGCCUGUUUGAGUAUCAUGAAAU
rnacentral:rRNA from 1 species